rnacentral:rRNA from 1 species
UAAACAACGUGAGCAAAUCUGGCCCCUUAGCUCUGGGGAUAGCUCCGGGAAACCGGGAUUAAUACCAGAUACGACCACUUUAGACAUCUGCCGUGGUGGAAAGAAUUUCGGCUAGGGAUGAGCUCGCGGCCUAUCAGCUUUUGUGGGGUAACGGCCUACCAAGGCGACGACGGGUAGCCGGCCUGAGAGGGCGACCGGCCACACUGGGACUGAGACACGGCCCAGACUCCUACGGGAGGCAGCAGUGGGGAAUAUUGCGCAAUGGGCGAAAGCCUGACGCAGCGACGCCGCGUGGGGGAUGAAGGCCUUCGGGUUGUAAACCCCUUUCAGCAGGGACGAAGCGAAAGUGACGGUACCUGCAGAAGAAGCGCCGGCUAACUACGUGC